UUAGAGACCGGCGCACGGGUGCGUAACGCGUAUGCAAUCUACCUUUCACAGAGGGAUAGCCCAGAGAAAUUUGGAUUAAUACCUCAUAGUAUAGCAGUUUCGCAUGAAACCACUAUUAAAGUCACAACGGUGAAAGAUGAGCAUGCGUCCCAUUAGCUAGUUGGUAAGGUAACGGCUUACCAAGGCAACGAUGGGUAGGGGUCCUGAGAGGGAGAUCCCCCACACUGGUACUGAGACACGGACCAGACUCCUACGGGAGGCAGCAGUGAGGAAUAUUGGACAAUGGGCGCAAGCCUGAUCCAGCCAUGCCGCGUGCAGGAUGACGGUCCUAUGGAUUGUAAACUGCUUUUAUACGAGAAGAAACCCUCCGACGUGUCGGAGCUUGACGGUAUCGUAAGAAUAAGGAUCGGCUAACUCCGUGCCAGCAGCCGCGGUAAUACGGAGGAUCCAAGCGUUAUCCGGAAUCAUUGGGUUUAAAGGGUCCGUAGGCGGUCAGGUAAGUCAGUGGUGAAAGCCCAUCGCUCAACGGUGGAACGGCCAUUGAUACUGUCUGACUUGAAUUAUUAGGAAGUAACUAGAAUAUGUAGUGUAGCGGUGAAAUGCUUAGAGAUUACAUGGAAUACCAAUUGCGA
rnacentral:rRNA from 1 species